UGGGAUGUAGCUCAGUGGUAGAGCACUUGCACGCAGGAGGCCCUGGGUUCACUCCCCAGUACCCCCA
rnacentral:tRNA from 1 species